UAGGCUAUGUGACCCAGGACCAGCCAAAGGCUGCUCUUCAGUCUGUGUUCAGGAGUCACAGGGAUCUGCUUGCUUAAGUGCUUAACAGCCAACAGACUUGAACAGAUUUGCUUGCUUUUAAGCCAAAGAUCCGCAGCAUUACUUCAGGUCACUGACCUCCUGUCAGAAAUGGAAAAUGUUUUAGAUUAACAGAUAUGCUGAGAAAGGAGGAAAUAACUAUAGAAAGAUCCUUUUGUUAAAGCUACUAAUGCCAGUUUGACUUGCAACAAAACAGAAGUACCUUUUUUUUCAGAGCAAUGGAAAGCCCCAUAAUACCCUUACUGCAAUGACCUGAAUGAGACUCCAGCUUUUCUCAACUUGCUGCUUUGGAUCAUUAGACAAUUUACACAAGGGUGGGAAUCCUCUAGAAUACAAAUUGAAGAUGUACAAAUUAUAGCAUAGAAGGAGAUGACUGAGAGCCUUCUCUCCUGUAACACAAGCCCUUGUCCACAGCCUGUUAUAGAGUCAUAGAAUCAUACAGCGUGGAAACAGGCCCUUCAGCCCAACUGGUCCAUGUCGAGCAACAUGCCAAAUCCAAGUCAGAGCAGGAGGAGUGAGAUGGAAAGUUAGACCUGCUUCACAAAGGUGGUCAAGGGAGGAAAAUGAAGAGGGCUUUCAGUAGGACAGCCUAUUACCAAAGUAUCUGCUGGGAGUAAUGCUCUGACCGCCAACCAGGUAACAUCUCUUCACUAUCAACCAAGCUGCUGCUCAGUAAUGGAAUAGUGUUCUUGGAGCAUGAUGUGGACUAAGCUGUUGGAUGCUUGGAUCUAGAAGGAGGGAACUGAUUUGUGCAAUAUUGCUAUGGAUGCAGAAUGACAAUGAAAAAUCUAACAAGAACCACAAAUCCUUAUCCUUCUCACUUCAGAACUGGACAAUUGAUGGCCUAGGAUGCUGUCAAACCUGUUUGAUAGAAUACCUCACCUCUUGUUCAAACUUGUUUUGAAAAAGAAGGGAAAAACAAAUAAGUAGCUUGCUCAGUGAAUGGAAAGCAGAUAAGAUGCUUAUUUUCCAGGCUGGUUAUUAUCAGUGUGCAUCUGUCACUCAUUUUCAGCCACCUUGACUUGUGGUAGCUGAGACAGCUAUUAGUAUGCUUCUGAAAACCAGUGUGCCUCAAAUCAAAAGCAAUUGCCCAUUUUACAUGAAUGCUUAAAAGCAUAGCAUUAGAACCAUUCAUAAGUGUUACACUUAUGUGCAAUAAUCAUGAAUUACAACAUUUAACUUGAGCAUUUAUUUACUUACCUUGAAAAGCUUAAAGAGAUUUGUCUUAAGUAAGUAGUUUCCCUUAAACCAAACCUUUGAACUUAACCUGAAUCCAUCCAAUUGGGGAAAACUAGCUAAGGUUCACACUACAAUACAAUCCAGAACUCUUUUAAAAAUUUGACAAAUAAAAUUCUGACAAAUAAAAUAAUAGAAAUACAAUAACCACCAUGACUACAACGACUAUAUAUGGUCAAUAAUGUGUUUUCACCUUAUCAACCAACCAGUUCAGGUUGCUGUCACUCAUUCUGAGCAGUUAUAAUCCAAAACUGCUCCUAGGUCUUCUUGUGGUUGCCCAGCCAAGGGUCAAUCUCCUUCAUUGAAAGUCGGCUGCAUUCCACCAUUGACAGUGCAGAUAUUAGGCAGCACUGUGACGUUCAUAAGGACAGUCAAACUCACAUAGACAAGUAUAAUCAGAUGCCAUCAGCAAGAAUGCAUCUCACAAUCAGCAUGGUGAACCAAAAUUGAUCAAAAAUUGUACAGAAUUCCCAAGCCAAGUUGCUAUCGGGAACCCAAUGCCAGUGCUGAACUUAAUUGUAAGCUGGAAAGGAAAUCCUGGAAUAUUUGUUUACAUAAGCACAACCUUUUCUUCCAGACCCACGCUUUGAGACAAUGCCAUUAAAAGUUAUAAGUCACAGUGUGAAUGACAAGAUGGCUCCAGUGUAGUUGGGUCAGUCCUCAAGAGGCUUUGAAAGUUCAACGUAAGGGGAAAACAUUCACUAAUGACCUUUUUGGAAUGCAGAUAAACUCAAACCUUUUUUCUCCAUCAAAGCAUCUUUUUAUGUUAAUGCUUGGACACCCAACAUUUCUACAUCAAAGAAUUCAAGGUCUUGUAGCAGGCAAACAGGAUGGAAAUGGUAUGGCCUAAGGGGAAGGUUGAUAUCACAGCUUGGUAUGGUAACUGCUUUGACCAAGACUGCAAGAAAUUGCAGAGAGUUGUGGACAGAGUUCAGUCCAUCACAAAAUCCAGCCUCCCUUCCACGGACUCUGUCAACACCGCUUGCUGCCUCGGAAAAGCAGCCAGCAUAAUCAAAGACCCCUCCCAACCUGGAUGUUUUCUAUUCUCCCCCCUUCCACUGGGCAGAAGAUACAAAAGCUUGAAAAUGUGCACCACCAAGCUUAAGGACAGCUUAUACUCUGCUGUUAUAAGACUCUUCAAUGGACCUCUUGUAUGCUAUGAACU